AAAGUCGUAACAAGGUUUCCGUAGGUGAACCUGCGGAAGGAUCAUCAUUGAAUCCAUUCUACAAACCCUGUGAACCGUAUGCAAAAGAGUGUUUGGCAGGAAGGCGCCUGGCAGCUAGCCUAGCGCCGUGUCUCUCUGCGGCUCAGCUUUACCACUGUUGCUGCGGAUGAGCGACUGCCAUCUGCUCGCCUUUUAUAAAAACGCUUUAAACAAAUCAUACUGAUAAUAAAACAAAUAAACUAAAACAACUUUCAACAAUGGAUCUCUUGGCUCUC
rnacentral:misc_RNA from 1 species